rnacentral:rRNA from 1 species
UGAAAGCUUACAUCUCUUCGGAGCAUUUUACGAGGUGCUGCAUGGUUGUCGUCAGCUCGUGCCGUGAGGUGUCGGGUUAAGUCCCAUAACGAGCGCAACCCUACCUUAGUUGCCAUCAGGUAAUGCUGGGGACUCUAAAGGAACUGCCUACGCAAGUAGUGAGGAAGGCGGGGAUGACGUCAAAUCAGCACGGCCCUUACGUCCAGGGCUACACACGUGCUACAAUGGCCGAUACAGAGGGCAGCUACCUGGUGACAGGAUGCAAAUCUCCAAAGUCGGUCUCAGUUCGGAUCGGAGUCUGCAACCCGACUCCGUGAAGUUGGAUUCGCUAGUAAUCGCGCAUCAGCCAUGGCGCGGUGAAUACGUUCCCGGGCCUA